AUGGUGACUGAGCUACAGUCAGAGAAGCCAUGCGCCGGCGGCCCUGGCACGGGCGCCAGCAGCUCCAAAGCUCGGGGGCUGUGGCCCUUCACCUUGGCGGCCGGGGGCGGGGGCUCAGAGGCAGCAGGGGCUGAGCAAGCUUUGGUGUGGCCUCGGGGCCGAGCUGUGCCCCACUUCGUAUUCAGGCGCCGCGGCUCCAUGUUCUAUGAUGAGGAUGGGGAUCUGGCUCACGAGUUCUAUGAGGAGACCGUCGUCACUAAGAAUGGGCAGAAGCGGGCCAAGCUGAGGCCAGUGCAUAAGAAUCUGAUUCCUCAGGGCAUUGUGAAGCUGGAUAGCCCCCCGCAUCCACGUGGAUUUUUCUGUGAUCCUCUGUGAGGUGUGAGCCUGGAAAGUGGCAGACAGAAGCACCCCCUGCCCCAGCGAGGAACUCCCAGGCUCAAGGUGUGGCUUCCAUUGAGGAGCCCAGGCUGGGGCCAAAACCCCGAAUAAACUCCAUUGGCCCAUAACCUUCAGCUGUGAGCAGGUCAGUCCCACAGUAUUGGUUGGGUGUUGGUUUGUCUGUGGACAAGAGGUGGUUAGUGGCUGGUGAAGGCUAAUGGCAGAGUUAGCACCCCACUCACCCCAGCCACCCCUGCAUAUACCAGUCAGGAAUGCCCGGUACCUGGUUCCUUGGCUGGUCUGCUUUCUUCCAAGUUUGUCUGGGUUCUAGCCCUGCUAGAGGCUACAGCACUUUACAAGCAAGGUCUGCCUUCUUCCAGCCCCUAGGCUGUGGGCACUGCCCUUUCCUUCACUUCCCUUUUGACCCCUAGUCAGAGCAUUUCAGCCGUUUGCUACCUCAAUUCCUCCUGUGUUGGACAGGGGCUGGGGGCAGUGCUAGCCUGAUUCUUCCCACCUACCUGCCAUCUGUUCCCACCUUCAGACGGAUGGACAGUUUGCUGGCUAUUGAUAGGAGUGGGGACUGGGUGGGGGAUUCUCCCACUACCCAGGGCUGGGCUGAUCCCCUCACUGCAACUAGUUGUUGCCCCCACACACAGCCCCGGUUGAGGAGUUGAGAGGGUGCAGGCUGGGGUCAGGACAGGCUGCGGAUGCUUGUGCCUAUGGGAAGUUACUCCAACCCACCUAUUCUGUCUAAUCCCCCAUGCCUUUGCACCAAGUCCUCUAUCCCC